AGAGUUUGAUCCUGGCUCAGAAUCAACGCUGGCGGCGUGCCUCAGACAUGCAAGUCGAACGCGAAAGUUCCCUUCGGGGAGCGAGUAGAGUGGUGCACGGGUGAGUAACACGUAGGUAAUCUACCUUUGGAUUGGGAAUAACAACCGGAAACGGUUGCUAAUACCGAAUAAUGCAGCGGCACCUAAUGGUGACAGUUGUUAAAGCGGGGGAUCGCAAGACCUCGCGUCUAAAGAGGAGCCUGCGGCGGAUUAGCUAGUUGGUAAGGUAACGGCUUACCAAGGCGAUGAUCCGUAGCCGGCCUGAGAGGGCGGUCGGCCACACUGACACUGACAUACGGGUCAGACUCCUACGGGAGGCAGCAGUCGGGAAUUUUGGGCAAUGGGCGAAAGCCUGACCCAGCAACGCCGCGUGAAGGAUGAAAUCCUUCGGGAUGUAUUCUUCGCAAGAACAGGAAGAAUAAGUAAGAGUUAAUAUCUCUUACGAUGACGGUACUGUUGUAGCUCCCU
rnacentral:rRNA from 1 species